rnacentral:rRNA from 1 species
AUUGAACGCUGGCGGCAGGCCUAACACAUGCAAGUCGAGCGGAGCGGCGGACGGGUGAGUAAUGCCUAGGAAUCUGCCUGGUAGUGGGGGAUAACGUCCGGAAACGGGCGCUACUACCGCAUACUAUCAGAUGAGCCUAGGUCGGAUUAGCUAGUUGGUGGGGUAAAGGCCUACCAAGGCGACGACCCGUAACUGGUCUGAGAGGAUGAUCAGUCACAAUGGAACUGAGAAACGGUCCAGACUCCUACGGGAGGCAGCAGUAGGGAAUCUUCCGCAAUGGGCGAAAGCCUGAUGCAGCCAUGCCGCGUGUAUGAAGAAGGCCUUCGGGUUGUAAGGUACUUUCAGCGGGGAGGCGUUACCCGCAGAAGAAGCACCGGCUAACUUCGUGCCAGCAGCCGCGGUAAUUC